AGUGAACGCUGGCGGCAGGCCUAACACAUGCAAGUCGAACGGCAGCACAGGGGAGCUUGCUCCCUGGGUGGCGAGUGGCGGACGGGUGAGGAAUGCGUCGGAAUCUGCCUCUUCGUGGGGGAUAACGUAGGGAAACUUACGCUAAUACCGCAUACGACCUACGGGUGAAAGCCGGGGACCUUCGGGCCUGGCGCGGAAAGAUGAGCCGACGUCGGAUUAGCUGGUUGGAGGGGUAACGGCCCACCAAGGCGACGAUCCGUAGCUGGUCUGAGAGGAUGAGCAGCCACACUGGGACUGAGACACGGCCCAGACUCCUACGGGAGGCAGCAGUGGGGAAUAUUGGACAAUGGGCGCAAGCCUGAUCCAGCCAUGCCGCGUGUGUGAAGAAGGCCUUCGGGUUGUAAAGCACUUUUGUACGGGAAGAAAAGCCCCGGGUUAAUACCCUGGGGUCAUGACGGUACCGUAAGAAUAAGCACCGGCUAACUUCGUGCCAGCCGCCGCCGUAA
rnacentral:rRNA from 1 species